UACGUAGGGGGCAAGCGUUGUCCGGAUUUAUUGGGCGUAAAGAGCGUGUAGGCGGCUUUGCAAGUCCGUUGUGAAAACUCGAGGCUCAACCUCGAGACGCCGGUGGAAACUGCAAAGCUAGAGUCCGGAAGAGGAGAGUGGAAUUCCUGGUGUAGCGGUGAAAUGCGCAGAUAUCAGGAAGAACACCCGUGGCGAAGGCGGCUCUCUGGGACGGUACUGACGCUGAGACGCGAAAGCGUGGGGAUCGAACAGG
rnacentral:rRNA from 1 species